rnacentral:rRNA from 1 species
CUCCUUUUUUUUUUUUUUAACACCAGUUUUGAAUUGAGAAUGUAAAUUUAUUAUUUUGAAAUAACUUUUAACAAUGGAUCUCUAGGCUCUCAUAUCGAUGAAGAACACAGUGAAAUGUGAUAAGUAAUGUGAAUUGCAGAAUUCAGUGAAUCAUUGAAUCUUUGAACGCACCUUGCACCUUAUGGUAUUCCAAAAGGUACACCUGUUUGAGUGUCAUGAAAAUCUCUCAUCAAAUUAAUUUUUGGUGGAUGUUGAGUGCUGCUGCUAUCUAGCUCACUUUAAAUAUAUAAGUCUUUCGACAUUUGUUGGAUUGACUUGGUGUAAUAAUUCUUUUUCAUCAAGGAAAGUAGCAAUACUUGCCAGCAUUGUGGAAAAUGGACUCCUAAAUUGAUUUUAUAUCUUUAUCUUUUUAAGACCUCAAAUCAGGUGGGACUACCUGCUGAACUUAAGCAUAUCAAUAAGCAGAGGAAAAGAAACUAACAAGGAUUCCCCUAGUAAUGGCGAAUGAAACGGGAAAA